CGGGACGUGGUGUAACAGCAACAUGCACGAUUCGGGUUCGUGCGAUUCCGGGUGCAAAUCCCGGCGUCCCGACAA
rnacentral:tRNA from 1 species